GACGAACGCUGGCGGCGGGCUUAACACAUGCAAGUCGAACGGAAAGGCCCUGCUUUUUUGGGGUGCUCGAGUGGCAAACGGGUGAGUAACACGUGAGUAACCUGCCCUUGACUUUGGGAUAACUUCAGGAAACUGGGGCUAAUACCGUAUAGGAGCUCCUGCUGCAUGGUGGGGGUUGGAAAGUUUCGGCGGUUGGGGAUGGAUUCGCGGCUUAUCAGCUUGUUGGUGGGGUAGUGGCUUACCAAGGCUUUGCCGGGUAGCCGGCCUGAGAGGGUGACCGGCCACAUUGGGACUGAGAUACGGCCCAGACUCCUACGGGAGGCAGCAGUGGGGAAUAUUGCACAAUGGGCGGAAGCCUGAUGCAGCAACGCCGCGUGCGGGAUGACGGCCUUCGGGCUGUAAACCGCUUUCGCCUGUGACGAAGCGUGAGUGACGGUAAUGGGUAAAGAAGCACCGGCUAACUACGUG
rnacentral:rRNA from 1 species